AGCACCUCCUCGCCAGCAGCCGUCCGGAGCCAGCCAACGAGAAAAUGGCAGACAAUUUUUCGCUCCAUGAUGCGUUAUCUGGGUCUGGAAACCCAAACCCUCAAGGAUGGCCUGGCGCAUGGGGGAACCAGCCUGCUGGGGCAGGGGGCUACCCAGGGGCUUCCUAUCCUGGGGCCUACCCCGGGCAGGCACCCCCAGGGGCUUAUCCUGGACAGGCACCUCCAGGCGCCUACCCUGGAGCACCUGGAGCUUAUCCCGGAGCACCUGCACCUGGAGUCUACCCAGGGCCACCCAGCGGCCCUGGGGCCUACCCAUCUUCUGGACAGCCAAGUGCCACCGGAGCCUACCCUGCCACUGGCCCCUAUGGCGCCCCUGCUGGGCCACUGAUUGUGCCUUAUAACCUGCCUUUGCCUGGGGGAGUGGUGCCUCGCAUGCUGAUAACAAUUCUGGGCACGGUGAAGCCCAAUGCAAACAGAAUUGCUUUAGAUUUCCAAAGAGGGAAUGAUGUUGCCUUCCACUUUAACCCACGCUUCAAUGAGAACAACAGGAGAGUCAUUGUUUGCAAUACAAAGCUGGAUAAUAACUGGGGAAGGGAAGAAAGACAGUCGGUUUUCCCAUUUGAAAGUGGGAAACCAUUCAAAAUACAAGUACUGGUUGAACCUGACCACUUCAAGGUUGCAGUGAAUGAUGCUCACUUGUUGCAGUACAAUCAUCGGGUUAAAAAACUCAAUGAAAUCAGCAAACUGGGAAUUUCUGGUGACAUAGACCUCACCAGUGCUUCAUAUACCAUGAUAUAAUCUGAAAGGG
rnacentral:lncRNA from 1 species